AGCGAACGCUGGCGGCAGGCCUAACACAUGCAAGUCGAACGAACCUUUCGGGGUUAGUGGCGGACGGGUGAGUAACACGUGGGAACGUGCCUUUAGGUUCGGAAUAACUCAGGGAAACUUGUGCUAAUACCGAAUGUGCCCUUCGGGGGAAAGAUUAAUCGCCUUUAGAGCGGCCCGCGUCUGAUUAGCUAGUUGGUUGAGGUAAUGGCUCACCAAGGCGACGAUCAGUAGCUGGUCUGAGAGGAUGAUCAGCCACAUUGGGACUGAGACACGGCCCAAACUCCUACGGGAGGCAGCAGUGGGGAAUCUUGCGCAAUGGGCGAAAGCCUGACGCAGCCAUGCCGCGUGAAUGAUGAAGGUCUUAGGGUUGUAAAGCUCUUUCAGCUGGGAAGAUAAUGACGGUACCAGCAGAAGAAGCCCCGGCUAACUCCGUG
rnacentral:rRNA from 1 species